rnacentral:rRNA from 1 species
GACGAACGCUGGCGGCGUGCUUAACACAUGCAAGUCGAACGGAAAGGCCCUGCUUUUGUGGGGUGCUCGAGUGGCGAACGGGUGAGUAACACGUGAGUAGCCUGCCCUUGACUUUGGGAUAACUUCAGGAAACUGGGGCUAAUACCGGAUAGGAGCUCCUGCUGCAUGGUGGGGGCUGGAAAGUUUCGGCGGUUGGGGAUGGACUCGCGGCUUAUCAGCUUGUUGGUGGGGUAGUGGCUUACCAAGGCUUUGACGGGUAGCCGGCCUGAGAGGGUGACCGGCCACAUUGGGACUGAGAUACGGCCCAGACUCCUACGGGAGGCAGCAGUGGGGAAUAUUGCACAAUGGGCGGAAGCCUGAUGCAGCAACGCCGCGUGCGGGAUGACGGCCUUCGGGUUGUAAACCGCUUUCGCCUGUGACGAAGCGUGAGUGACGGUAAUGGGUAAAGAAGCACCGGCUAACUACGUG